CUACGGGGGGCUGCAGUGGGGAAUAUUGCACAAUGGACGAAAGUCUGAUGCAGCAACGCCGCGUGGAGGAUGACACUUUUCGGAGCGUAAACUCCUUUUAUAUAGGAAGAUAAUGACGGUACUAUAUGAAUAAGCACCGGCUAACUCCGUGCCAGCAGCCGCGGUAAUACGGAGGGUGCAAGCGUUACUCGGAAUCACUGGGCGUAAAGAGCGUGUAGGCGGGUUAAUAAGUCAGAAGUGAAAUCCAAUGGCUCAACCAUUGAACUGCUUUUGAAACUGUUAACCUAGAAUAUGGGAGAGGUAGAUGGAAUUUCUGGUGUAGGGGUAAAAUCCGUAGAGAUCAGAAGGAAUACCGAUUGCGAAGGCGAUCUACUGGAACAUUAUUGACGCUGAGACGCGAAAGCGUGGGGAGCAAACAGGAUUAGAUACCCUUGUAGUC
rnacentral:rRNA from 1 species